ACGGGUGAGUAAUACAUCGGAACGUAUCCUGGAGUGGGGGAUAGCCCGGCGAAAGCCGGAUUAAUACCGCAUACGCUCUGAGGAGGAAAGCGGGGGACCUUCGGGCCUCGCGCUCAAGGGGCGGCCGAUGGCGGAUUAGGUAGUUGGUGGGGUAAAGGCCUACCAAGCCGACGAUCCGUAGCCGGUCUGAGAGGACGACCAGCCACACUGGGACUGAGACACGGCCCAGACUCCUACGGGAGGCAGCAGUGGGGAAUUUUGGACAAUGGGGGCAGCCCUGAUCCAGCAAUGCCGCGUGUGUGAAGAAGGCCUUCGGGUUGUAAAGCACUUUUGUCCGGAAAGAAAUCAUCGGGGCCAAUACCCCUGGUGGAUGACGGUACCGGAAGAAUAAGCACCGGCUAACUACGUGCCAGCAGCCGCGGUAAUACGUAGGGUGCGAGCGUUAAUCGGAAUUACUGGGCGUAAAGCGUGCGCAGGCGGUGCUGUAAGACCGAUGUGAAAUCCCCGGGCUUAACCUGGGAACUGCAUUGGUGACUGCAGCGCUGGAGUAUGGCAGAGGGGGGUGGAAUUCCACGU
rnacentral:rRNA from 1 species